GAGUUUGAUCGUGGCUCAGGAUGAGCGCUGGCGGCGUGCCUAAUACAUGCAAGUCGAGCGAACGGACGAGAAGCUUGCUUCUCUGAUGUUAGCGGCGGACGGGUGAGUAACACGUGGAUAACCUACCUAUAAGACUGGGAUAACUUCGGGAAACCGGAGCUAAUACCGGAUAAUAUUUUGAACCGCAUGGUUCAAAAGUAAAGACGGUCUUGCUGUCACUUAUAGAUGGAUCCGCGCUGCAUUAGCUAGUUGGUAAGGUAACGGCUUACCAAGGCAACGAUGGCAUAGCCGACCUGAGAGGGUGAUCGGCCACACUGGAACUGAGACACGGUCCAGACUCCUACGGGAGGCAGCAGUAGGGAAUCUUCCGCAAUGGGCGAAAGCCUGACGGAGCAACGCCGCGUGAGUGAUGAAGGUCUUCGGAUCGUAAAACUCUGUUAUUAGGGAAGAACAUAUGUGUAAGUAACUGUGCACAUCUUGACGGUACCUAAUCAGAAGCCACGGCUAACUACGUCG
rnacentral:rRNA from 1 species